rnacentral:lncRNA from 10 species
GAACCCACCAACCAGGGGCAGGAUAGCCUGAAGAAACGUCUACAGGCAAAAGUCAAAGUUAUUGGGAGUUUAUUAAAGAAGCUGUAUUGCAUGAAGGGAGGAGAGAAAGAAGGGAUCUAUCUUGGAUUGGGAGGGAAACACAGAGUUUUGGUUUCUAGAAUUGCCUCUGCACUUAUGUGAUCUGAGGUGCAUAGCAGCCUGGCUGGAAGCAUUCUGAGUGCUCUGUCUGCCCUGGUGGGUUUCAUUCUCCUGUCUGUCAACCCGGCUGCAUUAAAUCCUGCCUCAUUGCAGUCUGAAAGAAGUGUGAUAUCUUAAAUCAGGAGAUAAGAAAUAUAGGGAGAUGGAGAGUGUAACUGAGAAUUAUCGCAGGAGAAUUCUCUCUCUUUGGAAGAAGAAAAACAAUGAAGUUUGGCUAACAGAAAUAAUGUGUCUGAAGUUGAAAAAUUAAGGGGUAUGUGCAUGGCCAGCAACGCAUUGAGAGGA